AUUCUGGAGAAAUUAUUCAAAGUAGUCCUAAACUGUUCAUCCUAUCCUGCCUUACCCUUCUCUCAGAAACCCCAACAAAGGCCAUGCCUUACAACUUACCUUGCUCCUGUUUCUGCCUCCUGACCACUCUGGUCUUCCCCAUGUUGCCAUGUAUGGCAUGCCUCCUGUCUCUAGGACCUAUGCAGCAAAAGAGAAAAACAAUGAAAGUCUGUAUUAGUAACUAGAAAAACGGUCAGAAGUCUGAGGUACCUGAGAGAAGACAGCAAAAUGAGAUCUGGAAUUUGAGGAGCACCUGUUAGGAGAAGAGUCAUCUCUACUACUCCCCAAAAGAUUCCCUGUUCUAGUUGGCCUUCUAUAUUGGUGGUUUCUGAAUACAUACCCCAAAGAACUUGAGCAUCAGUGAAUUCUGGUAUCUUCUGGGAGCCCUGGAACUAAUCUCUUGAAAAUACCAAGGGAUGACUGUGUUUUAAAAGGUAAGUGGAUUAGGAUAUUGACGGUGAUCAUUUUGCAUAAUUUUUUUCAUAAUGUUGGGCUUCCAAACAAAAGAUUAAAAGUCAAAAAUGUUUAUUCUCAAAACCUCUUCACAUCUGGAAAAAGUAACUUUAAACAUUUUUUUUCUCCAUAUAUUCAUUUCUCCUUUUCAGGCACACCACUUAUGUGUAUGCUGAACUUUUCUUUUUUCUGUUUGGAUUUUCUAACAGAUUAUUUUCAUCUACCCUGACAAUUGUUUUAACUCACUGUUAAUUUAUUUUGUUUCAUUUUUUCACUGUUCACAUGCUUUUUGAUAUUUUCCGUUUCUAUUCCCCUUUAGGUUAUUUCCAAUGUAACUUUGGAUGUAACAUUCUUUUCUACUAUUCUUUCCUAUACUUAAUAUGGUUUGCCUGUGUCCUCAACUAAAAUCUCAACUUGAAUUGUAAUCCUCAUGGGAGGUGGUUAGAUCAUGGGGGCAGUUUCCCCAAUGUUGUGCUUGUGCUACUGAGUGAGUUCUCACAAGAUCUGAUGGUUUUAUAAGGGGCUUUUCCCUGCUUCGCUCUGCACUUCUCUCUCCUGCUGCCAUGUGAAGAAGGACAUGGUUGUUUCCUCUUCUGCCAUGAUUGUAAGUUUCCUGAGGCCUCCCAAGCAAUGCAGAACUGUGAGUCAAUUAAACCUCUUUCCUUUAUAAAUUACCCAGUCUUGGGCAGUUCUUUAUAGCAGCAUGAGAACAAACUAAUAUACUAAUUUUCUUGUUUUAUCUGCUUAAGAGUCAUUUCCUUCUAUUUCCUUGCUAUAUUUCUUCCUGAAUUUCUGUUUCCCAAAUGUCUGCUUUGAGACAUUAUUUCAAAGAAGUUAUUGUUUUGUUAAUGUCUAUUGCUUAAUUUAGUAAUACAUUUGGGAAUUAAUUUCAUUUUCUCCAUGACAAAAUUUUUCUGGUGAAUAUUUUUCAACUGCUUUCUAUUCUGCUUUCUAUUCUAAUUAUUUUAAUACCUUGGUAUUUAUGCUGCAAUGGUCCCUUUUACACAUGGUGAGUCUUCAUAGACUAUAUGCUGGUAAUUUAUCUUUGAAUAUAGUGAGUAUUUGGAACUAUGGGAGGAGGGUCAGAGUGGGAUAUAGCACAACAGUAAUUGUCAGAGGCUGACCAUGAAAUGCAUUAAAGUGUAUUCCUAUAUCUAGUUUAGCCUUUAAUUCUCCCCAGGCGAGAGAGAGAUGUCACUCAGGACUGCUUCCGAAGGAGUUUCUCUUGCAGCUUGCUUCACUGUCUAACUCCUUUCAUACAAGUGGGUAACAUGCCCUUCAUUCAGAACCAAACCUGUGCCCUGGCUUGGUAUAUUUCCUCCACCUGCUGAGCACCCUCUCACCCUCUAUUUUUACUUGGAAGAAAGAAGACAAUAAUAUCUACCAAUCAAGAUGCUGUACCUGAAGCAGAAGAUAACCUGGCAAAGAAAAGAGUAUAGUGCUGCCUUCAGGGAACUCCUAGUCUAGGGGAAGACAGCCAAUAAUCACAUAACUGCUCUAAUCAAAUAUUUCACCAAAAUAAAGUAUUAGCCACCUCCUAGAAUCCAGGCUCUGUUGUAAGUGCUGAGG